rnacentral:rRNA from 1 species
ACCGGCGCACGGGUGCGUAACGCGUAUACACCUACCUCUUACUAUUGGAUAGCCCAGAGAAAUUUGGAUUAAGCCAAUAUGGCACGGCAUCGUUAAAGGUUACGGUAAGAGAUGGGUAUGCGUCCUAUUAGUUUGUUGGUAAGGUAACGGCUUACCAAGACUACGAUAGGUAGGGGCCCUGAGAGGGGGAUCCCCCACACUGGUACUGAGACACGGACCAGACUCCUACGGGAGGCAGCAGUGAGGAAUAUUGGACAAUGGGCGGGAGCCUGAUCCAGCCAUGCCGCGUGCAGGAAGACUGCCUAUGGGUUGUAAACUGCUUUUAUACGGGAAGAAACACCCCCUCGUGAGGGGGCUUGACGGUACCGUAAGAAUAAGGACCGGCUAACUCCGUGCCAGCAGCCGCGGUAAUACGGAGGGUCCGAGCGUUAUCCGGAAUCAUUGGGUUUAAAGGGUCCGUAGGCGGGCGGCUAAGUCAGUGGUGAAAGUCUGUGGCUCAACCAUAGAAUUGCCAUUGAUACUGGUCGUCUUGAAUCAAUGUGAAGUGGUUAGAAUGAGUAGUGUAGCGGUGAAAUGCAUAGAUAUUACUCAGAUACCGAUUGCGCGCAGAUCACUACCAUGGUAAUGACGCUGAGGACGAAAGCGUGGCGAGCGACAGAUUAGAUACCUGGUUAGUCCACGCCGA